rnacentral:rRNA from 1 species
AUUGAACGCUGGCGGCAUGCCUUACACAUGCAAGUCGAACGGCAGCACGGGAGCAAUCCUGGUGGCGAGUGGCGAACGGGUGAGUAAUGUAUCGGAACGUGCCCAGUCGUGGGGGAUAACGUAGCGAAAGCUACGCUAAUACCGCAUACGAUCUAUGGAUGAAAGCGGGGGAUCGCAAGACCUCGCGCGAUUGGAGCGGCCGAUAUCAGAUUAGGUAGUUGGUGGGGUAAAGGCCCACCAAGCCUGCGAUCUGUAGCUGGUCUGAGAGGACGACCAGCCACACUGGAACUGAGACACGGUCCAGACUCCGACGGGAGGCAGCAGUGGGGAAUUUUGGACAAUGGGCGCAAGCCUGAUCCAGCAAUGCCGCGUGCAGGAUGAAGGCCUUCGGGUUGUAAACUGCUUUUGUACGGAACGAAACGGCUUUUUCUAAUACAGAGAGCUAAUGACGGUACCGUAAGAAUAAGCACCGGCUAACUACGUGCCAGCAGCCGCAGUAA